rnacentral:rRNA from 1 species
UACGUAGGGUGCGAGCGUUAAUCGGAAUUACUGGGCGUAAAGCGUGCGCAGGCGGUUCGUUGUGUCUGAUGUGAAAGCCCCGGGCUCAACCUGGGAAUGGCAUUGGAAACUGGCGAGCUAGAGUGUGGCAGAGGGGGGUGGAAUUCCACGUGUAGCAGUGAAAUGCGUAGAGAUGUGGAGGAACACCGAUGGCGAAGGCAGCCCCCUGGGCCAACACUGACGCUCAGGCACGAAAGCGUGGGGAGCAAACAGG